ACAGUCGCCCCUAGACUUUGUCCUUCUCUGAGAGGGUCCCUGUCCCUCCCUUACUUCCUGUGUGACCUUGGGCACAUUACUCAACCUCUGAGAACCUUAUUUCCUGACCUGAAAAGCAGUGUUAUGAAAAUCAAAUGAAAAACUUACACAGAGCAUUUAGUGGCUGUGACACGUAGCAUCCUAGCCCUGGGAGCGCUUCCUGUGUUGUUGACCAUAGUCUCUGCCUUUAUUAUCCAUCCCCACUCCUCCCAAGAGGUUGAUCUGUGACUCCUGGGUCUGGCCGGGAGCAGUGCUGUCCCACCGGAGCUCCGGCAGGGCAGGGGGGUGCCCCCUCGUUCCAGGGCCUCCAUCCCCGUUCUUCCCACUACAUGCCCAGUGCUGAAUCAACUGGGUGAGGACUCACUGGCUGACCAACCCACAUCUUAUCUAACAGCAUCCGAGUCGUGAGGUUCUCCAGGAACUUUCAGUCUGUUGGCACUGAAGAGGGCGUGCGAUUGUAACUGAGAACUCGCCCAGGGGAAGGGCAAAGGGAGACAGACCUUUGGGAGGGCAUCGAGUCCCCUCUGGUGCUUCAUUUCCUAGGCCCAGAAACUCAUUGCUCUGUGCCCAGAAGUGAUCAGUCUCUACAGAACGUCUCACGGUCGCCAAGCCCACAAAGAUUGAUGGGGAAGACAAGCACAAGGAAGGACAAAUGGUGACCAGAUGUUGCUUGGUCCUGGGUCUCCUUAACUGUGGCUUCCAGAUCAGAGUGGCUUUGGUAUCCUGCUUACAGUGCAAAAACUUCAGGAUCCAAAGGAAUACUUCCUCUCACCCUCUGAAGUUUCACCGAAAAUCACGGACAAAAGGAAGAUUAAUAGGAGAAAAGCUCCGGCACCAUCUGGCACUACCCGAUCCUCAGACCACGGCCAACUGAGAGCAUCUUUGUCAUCAAGCCCAGCGGUGUUCACAGCCCAGUGGGCGAGAUCAUAAAAUGCUUUGAGCAGGAAGGAUUCUACUUGGUGACCACAAAGUUCUUUCAGGCCUCCGAGGAACACCUGAAGCAGCACUACACCAACCUGAAACACCGCCCAUUCUUCCUGGCGCUGGAAAAGUACCAGCACCCUGGGCCAGUCGUGGCCAUGGAGGGGCUAAAUGUGGGGAAGACUGUACAAGAGAUGCCCAGGGGGGCCCAUCCAGCAGAACCUAAGCCAGGCAUCGUUCCCAGGAACUUCUGCAUUCGACUUGGCAAAACACCGUUCACGGCCGUGAUUCAGUAAAAAGUGCUGAAAAAGAAAUCAGCCUCUGGCUUAAACCGGAAGAAUUUAUUUACAUGAGUCUUGUGCCUGUGACUGUAUCUAUGAAUGAAAGGGUCCCCUUUGGCACCCUUCCUCUGUCCCUGGACACAGGUCUUUAUUCC